rfam:Dipodomys ordii contig_8867, whole genome shotgun sequence.
GGGAAUGUAGCUCAAUGGUAGAGUGCUUGCCUUGCAUGCAUGAGGCCCUGGGUUCUAUUCCUCAGGACCA